AGAAAAGACAUCAGACAACUAACUCUCCUUCUGCCAUGAGGGGAUGCAGCAAAAAACUGGCCAACUGCAAGCCAAGAAGAUUAUAGGACUGUGUAUGUCCUACACACACAUUAUAUGUCCUACACGCACAGUGAUGAGGAGUGACAAAAUGAAGACUCCAGAAUCCUCUUUAUCAGAUCCUGAAUGUGCACUUUCUGAAGUGAAGUCCACUAUGUGCUGGGCACACAGAGAAUAGAGCAUGAAACAAAAGCAACAUGACCCUGCCCUCACCAAGACUACAGGGAGUGAUGGAGCAUACAACUUUGUUUCAGAAUGCAAUUCAGAUCUUCCCUUUCGCUUGGCUUCUUAAAACUUCUUUUGAGGAUGCUUAUAAUAGUCUCAGAGGCAACAUGGCCAGCAUAAAAGUAGAACAACAGAACAGAAUGAAACAUAAGAAAACAGAAACAAACAAGUAGAAGCUCAAAUAUCCACACAACUAAAAGUGGCGAUGAUAAUAAAAUCUGGCUCUGGUGACAUAAGCGGAAGUUGUUGUGUGGAACGUGCAGGAGGACUCCUUCAAAAGGAAUAUGGACAGGGAGUGCACACUUUUCCAGCCUUCUUGUCUCAUUCCUUCUUGCUGCCAGGAACAAUGACAUGAGAACUGGAGCGCUAACAGCCAUUCAGAUCAUGAGGCAACAUUAAGGAUGAAAACCACACACUGAGGAUGAUGGAGCAGAAAAAACGGAGAGAAGGAGAUUUUCUGACCAUCCCAUGGUGCCAGUUGACACACCUGGACUGCCUACUUCUGACUCUCUUGUAUUUGAAAUAAUACAUUUUGUUGUGUUUAAUCACUACUAUUUUGGAUUUUCUGUUGUAUGCAGCUGAAUUUAGUUCUAAUUGAUGUAGACAAGUCUGUCUGUAACUAGAUGCAUGUGGAAAAUAAAACUUUUAUGGGAAAAAUACAGAAUUAUGGAAUCAAAUUCUAUAUUUUUUGCUUUUGCCGCACAGGCAUAUUCUUUCCAUGCUCCGAUCUAGAGUAGCUCACUUGUUAAAUCAUGAUAAUUCUGGUUGUGUCUAUUUUGCUUCCACUUCUGAUGAAUAAUUGAAUAUUUAGAGCUGUUGUGAAAGUUUUUGGUCUCUGUCUUUCUCCUGCUAACAAUAGAAUGUCUUGAUGAAUUGAUUAAGUAAAAAUAAAAAUGCACUGAGGCAAAAGUGCUACAAUCACUUAAACCUGUUUCUAAG
rnacentral:lncRNA from 1 species